AAAUAUUGACUUUUAGCAAAAAAAUCUUUCUACAAUAAUAAGAAUAUGUAGCCAUCAAAUUAAAAAAUCCAGAUUUGAAAAUCCAACUUCAAUAUAAAGGCUGACUUCAUUUCUGUUGAAAAUCAACGGACCGUGAAACUCUCCGAAGACAGUGUUUUGGGUCGAUUUUAAGCUGAACUUUGGGGCCUUUUAAAGGUGUUUUGAGGUGGAUUAUGGGGCUAAUUUUUUCUGGGUGUGGAUUGUUAGGCUAGUGUUUGAUGUUAGUCAGCUGGGUUUCAUGGUCAUUUUUGGAGGAAAGGGACUGUUUUUAGGGUGGUUUUAGUAAUGAAAAUAGUAUUUUUCAGCUUAGUUCUGUGGCUAGAUAUGGAGUUUUUGGAGUAGUUUUGGGCUGGUGUUUUUGGUUGAUUUUUUUAUGAAAUUUUAUGGAGCUUGAUGGUGUCUUAACAAUGGAGAAAAAUGGAGUUGGAUUUACCGAAUGACUGUAUCUAAAUUACUGGGAUUUGUAGUGUUAUUAGAGGAACAAGAGGAAGCGAGCUUCAUUUUUAUGCUCUCCUUUAUAUCUGUUUUUUCCAGGUGCUCCUCUGUUUUUCCAAAUCUCCUAUCCCGUGAUAUUUUUGUUGUUCCCCUCUAAUUGUGUUGAGCUGUUCAAUUUAUAAUAUAGGAAAUUACCAGGAAAGUUCAUGUAAAUUAGUUAUCAGAUAAUAUUCCUUUACAUUAUAAUUUAAAAAUGAGGAAAAAUUGAACGUUGUAGUCUGUUUAUUUUUUCUUGGGAUGAUGUGGUCCGUUUAUUCAAGGGAUUAUUACAAAAAUAGUCACUUAAAAUUC
rnacentral:lncRNA from 1 species